UUGGGCGUAAAGCGAGCGCAGGCGGUCUUUUAAGUCUAAUGUGAAAGCUUCGGCUCAACCGAAGAAGUGCAUUGGAAACUGGGAGACUUGAGUGCAGAAGAGGACAGUGGAACUCCAUGUGUAGCGGUGAAAUGCGUAGAUAUAUGGAAGAACACCAGUGGCGAAGGCGGCUGUCUGGUCUGCAACUGACGCUGAGGCUCGAAAGCAUGGGUAGCGAACAGGAUUAGAUACCCUGGUAGUCCAUGCCGUAAACGAUGAUUACUAAGUGUUGGAGGGUUUCCGCCCUUCAGUGCUGCAGCUAACGCAUUAAGUAAUCCGCCUGGGGAGUACGACCGCAAGGUUGAAACUCAAAAGAAUUGACGGGGGCCCGCACAAGCGGUGGAGCAUGUGGUUUAAUUCGAAGCUACGCGAAGAACCUUACCAGGUCUUGACAUCUUCUGACAGUCUAAGAGAUUAGAGGUUCCCUUCGGGGACAGAAUGACAGGUGGUGCAUGGUUGUCGUCAGCUCGUGUCGUGAGAUGUUGGGUUAAGUCCCGCAACGAGCGCAACCCUUAUUACUAGUUGCCAGCAUUAAGUUGGGCACUCUAGUGAGACUGCCGGUGACAAACCGGAGGAAGGUGGGGACGACGUCAAAUCAUCAUGCCCCUUAUGACCUGGGCUACACACGUGCUACAAUGGAUGGUACAACGAGUCGCGAGACCGCGAGGUUAAGCUAAUCUCUUAAAACCAUUCUCAGUUCGGACUGUAGGCUGCAACUCGCCUACACGAAGUCGGAAUCGCUAGUAAUCGCGGAUCAGCAUGCCGCGGUGAAUACGUUCCCGGGCCUUGUACACACCGCCCGUCACACCAUGAGAGUUUGUAACACCCAAAGCCGGUGGGGUAACCUUUUAGGAGCUAGCCGUCUAAGGUGGGACAGAUGAUUAGGGUGAAGUCGUAAC
rnacentral:rRNA from 1 species